GACGAACGCUGGCGGCGUGCUUAACACAUGCAAGUCGAACGGAAAGGCCCUGCUUUUGUGGGGUGCUCGAGUGGCGAACGGGUGAGUAACACGUGAGUAACCUGCCCUUGACUUUGGGAUAACUUCAGGAAACUGGGGCUAAUACCGGAUAGGAGCUCCUGCUGCAUGUUGGGGGUUGGAAAGUUUUGGCGGUUGGGGAUGGACUCGUGGCUUAUCAGCUUGUUGGUGGGGUAGUGGCUUACCAAGGCUUCGACGGGUAGCCUGCCUGAGAGGGUGACCGGCCACAUUGAGAUUUAGAUACGGCCCAUACUACUACGGGAGGCAGCAGUAGGGAGUGUUGCACAAUGGGCGGGAGCCUGAUGCUGCAACGCCGAAUGGGGGAUAACGACCUUCGUGUUGUACUGCGCUUUCGGCUGUUACGAAGAGUGAGUGACGUUAAUGGGUAAAGAAGCACCGGCUAGCUGCGUG
rnacentral:rRNA from 1 species